CGCCGGCGGUGUGCCUAAUACAUGCAAGUCGAACGCGUUGGCCCAACUGAUUGAACGUGCUUGCACGGACUUGACGUUGGUUUACCAGCGAGUGGCGGACGGGUGAGUAACACGUAGGUAACCUGCCCCAAAGCGGGGGAUAACAUUUGGAAACAGAUGCUAAUACCGCAUAACAAUUUGAAUCGCAUGAUUCAAAUUUAAAAGAUGGUUUUGGCUAUCACUUUGGGAUGGACCUGCGGCGCAUUAGCUUGUUGGUAGGGUAACGGCCUACCAAGGCUGUGAUGCGUAGCCGAGUUGAGAGACUGAUCGGCCACAAUGGAACUGAGACACGGUCCAUACUCCUACGGGAGGCAGCAGUAGGGAAUCUUCCACAAUGGGCGCAAGCCUGAUGGAGCAACACCGCGUGAGUGAAGAAGGGUUUCGGCUCGUAAAGCUCUGUUGUUAGAGAAGAACGUGCGUGAGAGCAACUGUUCACGCAGUGACGGUAUCUAACCAGAAAGUCACGGCUAACUACGUGCCAGCAGCCGCGGUAAUACGUAGGUGGCAAGCGUUAUCCGGAUUUAUUGGGCGUAAAGCGAGCGCAGGCGGUUUGAUAAGUCUGAUGUGAAAGCCUUUGGCUUAACCAAAGAAGUGCAUCGGAAACUGUCAGACUUGAGUGCAGAAGAGGACAGUGGAACUCCAUGUGUAGCGGUGGAAUGCGUAGAUAUAUGGAAGAACACCAGUGGCGAAGGCGGCUGUCUGGUCUGCAACUGACGCUGAGGCUCGAAAGCAUGGGUAGCGAACAGGAUUAGAUACCCUGGUAGUCCAUGCCGUAAACGAUGAGUGCUAGGUGUUGGAGGGUUUCCGCC
rnacentral:rRNA from 1 species